rnacentral:lncRNA from 1 species
GCUUCACAUCCGAUUGGAAGACUGUCUCAAGUGGGGUACCGCAAGGCUCUGUCUUGGGCCCAUUGCUGUUCAACAUUUUUAUAAACGAUCUGGAUGAAGGUGUCGAGGGGACGCUGAUCAAAUUUGCAGAUGACACAAAGCUAGGAGGGCUUGCUAACACUAGGGAGGAGAAGGAGAGGAUUCAAAAGGAUUUGGACAAGCUUGAACAGUGGGCUGAAGCUAACAGAAUGACAUUUAACAGGGAGAAAUGCAAAGUUUUACAUCUGGGUAAGAAAAAUGACAAUAUCCAAUACAGAAUGGGGGGAAUCUCGCUGAGCAGCAGCACAUGUGAAAAGGAUCUGGGUGUACUAGUAGAUCACAGAUUAAACAUGAGUCAACAGUGUGAUGCAGCGGCAAAAAAGGCAAAUACCAUCCUGGGCUGUAUCAAGAGGAGUAUAGAGUCUAGAUCACGAGAAGUAAUUGUCCCACUUUACUCUUCCUUGGUCAGACCUCAUCUGGAGUAUUGUGUCCAGUUCUGGGCACCCCAGUUUAAAAAAGACAUUGACAAACUGGAACAAGUUCAGAGAAGGGCGACCAAAAUGGUGAGUGGUCUGCAAACCAUGUCCUACGAGGAAAGGUUAAAGGACCUAGGAAUGUUUAGCCUGCAGAAGAGAAGACUGAGAGGAGACAUGAUAGCUAUUUUCAAAUAUCUGAAGGGCUGUCACAGUGCAGAAGGAUUGGCCCUAUUCUCAGUUGCGCAAGAAGGAAGGACUAGAAACAAUGGGAUGAAACUUCAAGGGAGUAGAUACAGGCUAGAUAUUAGGAAAAACUUCCUGACCGUAAGGGCAAUCAGUCAUUGGAACAGGUUGCCACAGGAGGUGGUAGGCUCUCCUUCGCUGGAGGUCUUCAAGGAGAGGCUGGACAGUUAUCUGUCUGGGAUGCUUUAGUGAAUCCUGCAUUGAGCAGGGGGUUGGACUCGAUGACCCUAGAGGUCCCUUCCAACUCUAUGAUUCUAUGAUUCUAUGAUUCUUAAAUAAUG